rnacentral:rRNA from 1 species
UACAGAGGUGGCAAGCGUUGUUCGGAAUUACUGGGCGUAAAGGGCGCGUAGGCGGCCAUCUAAGUCAGACGUGAAAUCCCCCGGCUUAACCUGGGAACUGCGUCUGAUACUGGACGGCUAGAGUAUGGGAGAGGGAUGUAGAAUUCCAGGUGUAGCGGUGAAAUGCGUAGAUAUCUGGAGGAAUACCGGUGGCGAAGGCGGCAUCCUGGACCAUUUACUGACGCUGAGGAGCGAAAGCCAGGGGAGCAAACGGG